CAGCCUCUAUGUACCUAGCCUCAAGCACUCUGUGAACGCUGUUCUCUACCAAGUGCUGUUCUCUUGAAAUCCACACCUAGGAACCUGCCUAAUCCUCCUAGCUGCUUGCCACCGAGUCCCUUUCCUGCUAAUCACCUACUCGCUUACCGAAGUGCCUCCUCUACUGUGCUUCCAAACUGCACACCUCUCUCCUGUCAGCUCGGGCCGCAGCUCCUCUCUCUCACUUCAGCUGUUAACACACAAGCUGGGCGCCCUCUCUGCCGGAGCGGUGACGUCAUCCGCCUGCUGCUUACACCACAGGAUUCCAGCGCUGCAUCUAAACCGGCUCUGCUCAUUCACGCCGCAUAUCCAGGAGAGAUUGCACGGAUUGUGACAGAGAUGGAGCUGAUGGUAAAACGUCCUACAGCGGACAAGAGUCUCCUCGGUCUUUGGACGGACGGUCCCUGCAUUCCACAUUGUAUUCACAGUAUUGGCAUAUGAACUGUAUCUCCGGUUAUCAUCCUGAAAACGGAGGCGGGGAGGAAGACCAGUGUGCGGCCGUGGGAGGACCUGAGAAUGCCCGCGAAACGGCCAUAUUGGAAGAGAUUGAAGAGUGUGUGGGAGUCAUCUGGGAGUGGUUAAGCGGUAGUGUGGGGGUGGUCAGGCGGUGGGACAGCUAAGUUGUGAGCAAUAAAGUGAGUAUUGUACAAAUA